AAAUUGAAGAGUUUGAUCAUGGCUCAGAUUGAACGCUGGCGGCAGGCCUAACACAUGCAAGUCGAACGGUAACAGGAAGCAGCUUGCUGCUUUGCUGACGAGUGGCGGACGGGUGAGUAAUGUCUGGGAAACUGCCUGAUGGAGGGGGAUAACUACUGGAAACGGUGGCUAAUACCGCAUAACGUCGCAAGACCAAAGAGGGGGACCUUCGGGCCUCUUGCCAUCAGAUGUGCCCAGAUGGGAUUAGCUUGUUGGUGAGGUAACGGCUCACCAAGGCGACGAUCCCUAGCUGGUCUGAGAGGAUGACCAGCCACACUGGAACUGAGACACGGUCCAGACUCCUACGGGAGGCAGCAGUGGGGAAUAUUGCACAAUGGGCGCAAGCCUGAUGCAGCCAUGCCGCGUGUAUGAAGAAGGCCUUCGGGUUGUAAAGUACUUUCAGCGGGGAGGAAGGUGUUGUGGUUAAUAACCACAGCAAUUGACGUUACCCGCAGAAGAAGCACCGGCUAACUCCGUGCCAGCAGCCGCGGUAAUACGGAGGGUGCAAGCGUUAAUCGGAAUUACUGGGCGUAAAGCGCACGCAGGCGGUCUGUCAAGUCGGAUGUGAAAUCCCCGGGCUCAACCUGGGAACUGCAUUCGAAACUGGCAGGCUUGAGUCUUGUAGAGGGGGGUAGAAUUCCAGGUGUAGCGGUGAAAUGCGUAGAGAUCUGGAGGAAUACCGGUGGCGAAGGCGGCCCCCUGGACAAAGACUGACGCUCAGGUGCGAAAGCGUGGGGAGCAAACAGGAUUAGAUACCCUGGUAGUCCACGCCGUAAACGAUGUCUACUUGGAGGUUGUGCCCUUGAGGCGUGGCUUCCGGAGCUAACGCGUUAAGUAGACCGCCUGGGGAGUACGGCCGCAAGGUUAAAACUCAAAUGAAUUGACGGGGGCCCGCACAAGCGGUGGAGCAUGUGGUUUAAUUCGAUGCAACGCGAAGAACCUUACCUGGUCUUGACAUCCACAGAACUUUCCAGAGAUGGAUUGGUGCCUUCGGGAACUGUGAGACAGGUGCUGCAUGGCUGUCGUCAGCUCGUGUUGUGAAAUGUUGGGUUAAGUCCCGCAACGAGCGCAACCCUUAUCCUUUGUUGCCAGCGAUUAGG
rnacentral:rRNA from 1 species